UGGUUUUGCUCAGUAAAAAGAGAGCAGUGGAGCAAGUAAUCCUUGGUCUCCUCCAAGUACUACCACCCCACGAGGGAGCGACGAGCCAGAGGCCCAGAAGAGAACAGCACCCACCCGCUUAUACACCUCACCACCCGGUAAGGCGGUAACCGUUGCAGUCGAUUCUCCCAGGGUGGACCUGUCGCUGUCUCGAGCAAAGCAGAGAGGUGGACGACGAGGACGGGUGGAGCCAAGGGGGGGGACAAGGAAAGAAACAAAAAAGAAGACGAAUCAGAGAACGCCCGCGCUGCGUGGGCACGCACAGUGUGAGAAGACGAGAUGGCCGUCUGGUCGCCAUCCAUCGCCGCUGGCUUAGGGCAACGGAGAUAUCGAAGUGCUGAGAUUGUGGAGAGGUCAUCCUAAUCACCUGAGGAAAAUGUCGGUGUCCGUACUCCCUCUCAUCUCUCUCUCUCUCUCUCUCUCUCCCGCUCUGUUUCUGUCCCCAGACCAGAGUCUAGAAAUCUAGAUGGAAAAGGUGGAGGAGAAAGGUAGGCAGAGCUAGGCUUCGAGUCCUCCCUGGGUGGCGCGUUGAAACGUUGACC
rnacentral:lncRNA from 1 species